UCGAAAUUCACUCUCACAAAUCAAAUCUAAAUCUUACAUCAUCUCAAAAUCAAACCCAUUUACCAGCGGAAAUCGAAAGCAAACCCUUUUUUAUAACCUUAGAUCAAGUAGCUUUGCUCCUGAAACCCUAGGGUUUCAAUAAUGGGAAGAAGAAUCUAUCGUUCUCAAGAUUCAAGAUAUGGAGUCAUCAUUAACGAAAUCAUAUAUGUGAAAAUCAGAACUGAAGCUGUCUGUUUAAGGACAAUCUUGGGAUGGUCUGAGAGGUGGUGCUGACACAUACAUGUGAAUGUUGAUAUGCAAGGCACAAAAGAAGACAAAUAUGCUUCCCGGAGAGCGAUUCCCCCUAUGCUUCAAGCCGAGGAGGAUGAAAGAUUCGCCAGCCAAUGGAAAUAGUAUCUAGAGGAAGAAGCGUGAAUCAUGACGGAUGUUCCAGGCUGGAAGGUCGCUGAAAGGGUUUAACACUCUCUUGAUGUCUGUUGUAUGUGAAGAUGACGAAGGAUACUCUGAGGAGGAACCGGAGGAGCAAGGUGUUGAUAUUGAGAACCAAUACUACAGCUCUAAAGGAAGGAUACUCUGAGGAGGAACCGGAGGAGCAAGAUGUUGAUAUUGAGAACCAAUACUACAGCUCUAAAGGUUUGGUUAAAACUGAUCCCGAAUGAGCAUUGAAAGGAUUUUCUGAAGUGGUGCCUGUUGAACUGGAUAUGUCAGAAGGGCAAGUUCCGUAAAAUGCUAAGCUUGCCAUCUAGAGCCAUGAAGUGAGUUUAUGCAUCUAGGUUGUCUAAGGAAGAUUCUCAACGAUGAACUAAUGGCAGAACCAAUCAGUUAGCAGUGUAGGGAAAGAAGGUACAGUCAUUGUGGGUAAAACGCAAAAGUAUAUGAAGAUUGUUAAUAAAUGUAAUAUCUUGGCAGCACCCAAGUUACUCCACAACCUGGACUUCCACCUGAGGAAGCAGGGGCCGCGAUAGCUGACGAAUAUCAUUAAUUUCAUUUUUAUUAUUAAUUUAUUUUAGAAAUUGUAUCCAAAGAUUCUAUUUGUUUGAAUAUUUUUUUGGGUAACU